rnacentral:lncRNA from 1 species
AGCAAAACUGUGUUGAAUGAACUGUAGAUGGAAAUUCUCUCCUUCCCACCGAGGAGCCGCUGCAGGUUGCAGACUCCCAGAAUGCCACACUGAGAAGAGGAGGGCUAAAAUUCUAGAGCAGAAUCCCUGGGGCAGCCCCUGCUGAAGAAGGGUGCAUCUGUUGAGAAUCUCAUCACCGCCCCCACCCCGCCCAGCCUUCAAUUUAGAGGAAUUUCUAGUUCACGCAGAAUGAAGACAAGAUCACAUAAGUGAGGACGACGCCCCAUUUACAAGUGUGAUUUGGAAGACUGAAGUGGAAACCUUGGGAAGAGAAGAGGAGGGCUAAAAUUCUAGAGCAGAAUCCCUGGGGCAGCCCCUGCUGAAGAAGGGUGCAUCUGUUGAGAAUCUCAUCACCGCCCCCACCCCGCCCAGCCUUCAAUUUAGAGGAAUUUCUAGUUCACGCAGAAUGAAGACAAGAUCACAUAAGUGAGGACGACGCCCCAUUUACAAGUGUGAUUUGGAAGACUGAAGUGGAAACCUUGGGAAGGUGUUCUUAUAAAAACAAAAAACUGUGUGGGUUGGGUUGUGUGCCUGCCUUUUGAAAGGCCUGCUGGUCGUUCUGAAUGCAGACUGCUGGCCAUGGUGCAGAUGGAAACCAAUUCUUUAGGAAGGCUGGGCAGCACUUGGCAGAGCCUUCUCCCUGACUGCUUUGAUUUGUGUGCGUGUGUGGGGAGGGGGUUGGGACUGAAGAGGUUGCAGUUUAUUCAUACACCCAGAAGGGAGCUAAUCCAGGUCAGAAGGAAGUCUGCUCCCUUAUCAACAGUUAGGUAGCUUUUCCUAUCAGUUUUCCCUUGUGUUGGCACUCAAUUUUCAUAAUACGAUAUGUA